UCGGGAAUUUUGGGCAAUGGGCGAAAGCCUGACCCAGCAACGCCGCGUGAGGGAUGAAGUAUUUCGGUAUGUAAACCUCGAAAGAAUGGGAAGAAUAAAUGACGGUACCAUUUAUAAGCUCCGGCUAACUACGUGCCAGCAGCCGCGGUAAUACGUAGGGAGCAAGCGUUGUUCGGAUUUACUGGGCGUAAAGGGCGCGUAGGCGGCGCGGUAAGUCACUUGUGAAAUCUCUGAGCUUAACUCAGAACGGCCAAGUGAUACUGCUGUGCUAGAGUGCGGAAGAGGCAACCGGAAUUCUUGGUGUAGCGGUGAAAUGCGUAGAUAUCAAGAGGAACACCUGAGGCGAAGGCGGGUUGCUGGGCCGACACUGCCGCUGAUGCGCGAAAGCCAGGGGAGCAAACG
rnacentral:rRNA from 1 species